UACGUAGGGUGCAAGCGUUGUCCGGAAUUAUUGGGCGCAAAGAGCUCGUAGGCGGUCUGUCGCGUCGGCUGUGAAAACCCGAGGCUCAACCUCGGGCCUGCAGUCGAUACGGGCAAACUAGAGUACUGCAGGGGAGACUGGAAUUCCUGGUGUAGCGGUGAAAUGCGCAGAUAUCAGGAGGAACACCGGUGGCGAAGGCGGGCCUCUGGGCAGUAACUGACGCUGAGGAGCGAAAGCGUGGGGAGCGAACAGGA
rnacentral:rRNA from 1 species